rnacentral:rRNA from 1 species
GCAAGUCGAGCGGACAGAUGGGAGCUUGCUCCCUGAUGUUAGCGGCGGACGGGUGAGUAACACGUGGGUAACCUGCCUGUAAGACUGGGAUAACUCCGGGAAACCGGGGCUAAUACCGGAUGCUUGUUUGAACCGCAUGGUUCAAACAUAAAAGGUGGCUUCGGCUACCACUUACAGAUGGACCCGCGGCGCAUUAGCUAGUUGGUGAGGUAAUGGCUCACCAAGGCAACGAUGCGUAGCCGACCUGAGAGGGUGAUCGGCCACACUGGGACUGAGACACGGCCCAGACUCCUACGGGAGGCAGCAGUAGGGAAUCUUCCGCAAUGGACGAAAGUCUGACGGAGCAACGCCGCGUGAGUGAUGAAGGUUUUCGGAUCGUAAAGCUCUGUUGUUAGGGAAGAACAAGUACCGUUCGAAUAGGGCGGUACCUUGACGGUACCUAACCAGAAAGCCACGGCUAACUACGUGCCAGCAGCCGCGGUAAUACGUAGGUGGCAAGCGUUGUCCGGAAUUAUUGGGCGUAAAGGGCUCGCAGGCGGUUUCUUAAGUCUGAUGUGAAAGCCCCCGGCUCAACCGGGGAGGGUCAUUGGAAACUGGGGAACUUGAGUGCAGAAGAGGAGAGUGGAAUUCCACGUGUAGCGGUGAAAUGCGUAGAGAUGUGGAGGAACACCAGUGGCGAAGGCGACUCUCUGGUCUGUAACUGACGCUGAGGAGCGAAAGCGUGGGGAGCGAACAGGAUUAGAUACCCUGGUAGUCCACGCCGUAAACGAUGAGUGCUAAGUGUUAGGGGGUUUCCGCCCCUUAGUGCUGCAGCUAACGCAUUAAGCACUCCGCCUGGGGAGUACGGUCGCAAGACUGAAACUCAAAGGAAUUGACGGGGGCCCGCACAAGCGGUGGAGCAUGU